GAAUUCUUAAUAAUAAUAUUAAUAAUGCAUCACAUUUUGUAUUAGAGCGUUUUUGCAGGUGCUCAAAGCGCUUUACAAUUACACAUUACACAUAUUAGACAUGUAAGAGUCAUUACUGUGGA